rnacentral:rRNA from 1 species
UACGUAGGGGGCAAGCGUUGUCCGGAAUCAUUGGGCGUAAAGCGCGUGUAGGCGGCCCGGUAAGUCCGCUGUGAAAGUCCAGGGCUCAACCCUGGGAUGCCGGUGGAUACUGUCGGGCUCGAGUCCGGAAGAGGCGAGUGGAAUUCCUGGUGUAGCGGUGAAAUGCGCAGAUAUCAGGAGGAACACCGAUUGCGAAGGCAGCUCGCUGGGACGUAACUGACGCUGAGACGCGAAAGCGUGGGGAGCAAACAGG